rnacentral:lncRNA from 1 species
AGUAAUUGCGACUUACUUGUUACAGCAGAAGCUUCAAGAAUUUACACUCAUUGGAAUAAUAAAAUAGAAGUAAGCAACCGUGCAUUAAAAAGCUAUGAAAAGAUGAAGAGAAUAUGCCUUCAAAUGGGAAGGAAUACUUAACUGUGAAUAAGACCUAGUUCAACAUGGAACUUCCUGGUGGCCAAGUCAGAAGAGAAGCACAGAACAAAAACGGAGGCACAGAGAGGUCAAUUGAUUGGUCUAAUGACACAGAUCUAGCAAGUGGUGGAACCAGGACUGAAUCCAGGUGUGUGUCCGGAAUUGGUGGGUUCUUGGUCUCACUGACUUCAAGAAUGAAGCCGCGGACCCUUGCGGAACUGUGAAGACUAGAGUGACCUUGGAGAUCUCAUCUGGAAGAUGGUAGAACUGCUAUCAGCCUGGCUUCCCAAAUGACCUCCUGGAUCACAGCUACCCAUGGCCUGAAAUGUUGACCUUGGAGUUGUUGCAUAGGAAAGAAAUAAACUUCUUUGUUCUUUGAGCCACAUAGUUAUCACAUAUCUUCUUAAAGCCACUUACCCACUUGUUCUAUCUCAUUCAGCUCUGAAAUUCUGUUUAAUUUCUAGAGUCAAAACAUUCAUUUGUUUCUUCUUUAUUUAACAAGAAUCAAUUACUUAUUUUAUGGAAGCCACUAUUCCAAAGAGAAGAAUCAUAAAAACAUUAGCCUUAUGGAUCUUUUGUCCUGGGAACAACACAGAGUGGAGACUACUGGAAUUUUUAAUAAAGUUCCUUUCCUGGGCAGUGCCAGUCCAGACCUAAUUUCCAGACUUAGUUAAGAUUAGACCAGUGUGCUGAAGAAUCAAAACAUCUAGAUAUUUUCCUUGCUCCAUUCUGCUUACAGCCCCACAAAAACUACUCACCCCACAGGGUUUCUUGCUUGAGAUUCCAGACAAUUCCUGUAUGUUUUAUUAGAAUACACUCUGUGUUUCAUCCAACUAGGAAGCCUUUGGCUCCGACUUAAAGCAUUAAGAACGGACCACUUUGGUAUGGAAAAUUAUCAGUUUUGGGGGAAAAGCCCCUGUUUCUCUGAUCUGUGCUCUGAAUUUGGCAGCUUUGUAGGCUUUCUCAAAGAGCCGCAACUGUGAACCAUGUCAUGUUGUCAUUAUCUCUGAUAUGCUCUGUGCAUUGGAAAUCCUGUGUGAGACUGGCAGGGGACAGAGGGAAUGAAGAAAUCACAUUCAUCAGAACAAGCUGCUCAACUUCCUUAAGUAAGGAGUUUGUCUAACAUCCAGUGGUUUCCUCUGACAGAGUGUGUACUUUCUUAACAUACGGACAAGAUUAGUACAUAGCCAGAAUGACUGUCUGCAGGUCCUAGGCUGCUUUUCAGAGGCAGCUUUAAUCUUCCUAAUUGAAUAUUUAGCUUUUCUAGGCCUGCACAAAAUGUAAAUCACAAUGUUUACAAUCUGUGAAAUAAUAGGAGAGUACAUAAUGUCAUUGCAAUAUUUUGUAAUCACUGUUAAAUGACUAAAAUCUAUUAAACUCAAUCAUUUUAAAUUAAACUUCUAAACUUCCCCA